rnacentral:lncRNA from 1 species
CUGCUCUUUUUUUGUCGAUAAUGAGGAAUUUUGUAUUCUUUUGUUUGAAAGAUAUAUGAUUAUUGACCAAAGAAAAGAGAUAGGUAUACAUAACCUGCUUUCCAGAGGAUAGUGCUUGAUCCUUUUAAGGUACAUGUAGAAUUCGGAUAUGAUGUCUACGGACACAAUAAUAACAUCAUUGCAGGGCAGGGAUUUGAUGAUAUUCAUAGGACAACUUGCUUGUUAAUAGUUUUCCUAACAUUGUUUCAUGUUUUAGGUUUUGUCUUCGUUUGAAUGAAAUGAUCAGGUUCAACAAGAACUGCAAGAUAAAAGGGUGAGAUGCCCAUGUUGAGUCUUGGAAGGAGAUCAAUCAUCAUUAUUCUUUUGGGACCAUUUUUUUCUUGAGGAACUCCAUUUUUACUUAUGUGCCCUUUUGUUUCUUUGUUUUUGUCAUCAUAUGCAUUUUGAUUCAAACUCAAGACUUUACAAGACAAGUCUAUUAUAUCUCUUCAAACAAUACCAGUUGCAGUUAGCAUUUUCAACAUUUUGCUUAUAUCAUUUUUAUGAAUUUCAUGGAACAUUUUCAUAUCCUACUCCUUGAAUAGUUUAAUUGUAAGAUGAAAACUCAUUAGACUAUCUCUUCUUCAGUUCCUACUUUGGAUUUAGAUGAUUUUUCCAUUUUAGAGGGGUUAACAGAUUAAUCAGAAUUAGAGUUAAAUUUGGCAUAGAAACAAUCAAUAAACAGAGGAAAUGGAUGUCAAGUAGUCUCUCAUUUACAUUACAACCUGAAAAUGAUUGAAAAUACAGAAUGUUCAUGAACAAACAUGAAAACUACAUAAAAAAAUGGAUUUUUAAAAAAAAAAUCACGGUAUAUUUAAAAUAACCUAAUUAUAUUUUUAUAUCUAUUUUUUUAUAGAUUUAAUUAUAGUUUUUUAAUUUUAUUAAAAUUUAUAACAUAUACUUGGUGGUUUUUUUUUUUUUUGUUUUUGUUUAAUAGGGUAUGCUUCGAACAAAAUUCAAGAUGAAGAAGCUCGCAGAUGGAUAGAAAAUAGAGUUUCAGAAACAAACAGCCACAAAAGAAAGAACUCAAGACAUCAAAAAGAUGGUAAAUAUAUACAUGUUUCUCCUGUUAUGUAGAAUGAAUAAGCAAGAUCAUCAUAGUAUUUUUAUAUCCUAAGCAACUAGAGAAGCAAUGUAACAAGGACUAACAUCAGGAUUAAGGCCUUGUAUUAGUAAGUGAAUAGUUCCAUUGUGUGGACAUGAAACAAUAACUUCUUCCUGCCAAUUUCCAUAUCGGAUUUAUGGACUUUCAGGAUCUUGCAAGUACUGCAUUUGAUAGGAUGCAAAUUUGAUAUUGGCACUAGGUCAAAGUCUUUUUCUAAGUGAUGCAUGUAAUCAAUUAUUUAUUUUACUUCGAAGUAGCCACGUUUGAUGUCCGCAUCCGAUACAUAUCUAGUCUUGAGAAAAUGUAGAUAUUAUCCGUAUUGAAGCAAAACCUAUUGUCCAACACAAACACGGAACCAGGUUAUCAUCCCCAAAAAUAUCAGCAACCAAAGCUCAUGAUCAACACCAUGCUUCGUACAAUAGAUGAUAACAUUGCACCUCUCAUUUCUCAUAAAGUGGUCAUUUUAAUGCCAAAUUUUACUAGUCAUGAACCGU